AUCUACGGCCAUGCCACCCUGAACGUGUCCGAUCCCAUCUGAUCGUCAGUAAGCUAAGCAGGGUUGGGCCUGAUUACUACUUGGAUGGGAGACCACCUAGGGAGACCAGGUGCUGUAGCGU
rnacentral:rRNA from 1 species